rnacentral:rRNA from 1 species
CAGCAGCGCGGGAAUACAGAGGGUGCGAGCGUUAAUCGGAUUUACUGGGCGUAAAGCGUGCGUAGGCGGCUUUUUAAGUCGGAUGUGAAAUCCCUGAGCUUAACUUAGGAAUUGCAUUCGAUACUGGGAAGCUAGAGUAUGGGAGAGGAUGGUAGAAUUCCAGGUGUAGCGGUGAAAUGCGUAGAGAUCUGGAGGAAUACCGAUGGCGAAGGCAGCCAUCUGGCCUAAUACUGACGCUGAGGUACGAAAGCAUGGGGAGCAAACAGGAUUAGAUACCCCCGUAGUCCCUGUCUCUUAUACA